GCGAGAAGCGGCGAAUUUGAACGACCCGCGAAAGGCAGACGUCCGAUGUCUAGGAGUUAGAAAGAUAAUCGAAAGCGCGAGAGAAAUCAAGCAAUAUGAGGGCGGACACCAUGCCCCGGUCCUGAGAAGCAAGCAGUCCAUCCACCACAUCCGCCAGAGCAGUUGCCGUGCUGUGACCCUUACGAAAACCAGAUUGCAGAGCAGGGAGCAUAUUGUGUUUUUCAAGGUUGUUCCGAGUCAUAUCGCGGGUGCGCCGAAUACUCUCUCCACGUCGCCGAGCGAGCGGAACUGCCGAACCUCAGCACCAUCACUCCUACGAGCGUAAAUGCGACCACGCCUCGUCCAGGAGUAUUUCCAUUGAAGCCUACGACACUCAUCCCGCACCCGGUGGAAGAGUUGGCGGUUCGGCCGGGUCAAGCGCUCAUUAAU